AUUGAACGCUGGCGGCAUGCCUUACACAUGCAAGUCGAACGGCAGCGGGCCCUUCGGGGUGCCGGCGAGUGGCGAACGGGUGAGUAAUGCAUCGGAACGUACCCGGGAGAGGGGGAUAACCGGCCGAAAGGCUGGCUAAUACCGCAUGAACUCGGAAGAGCAAAGCGGGGGACCUUCGGGCCUCGCGCUCUCGGAGCGGCCGAUGUCCGAUUAGGCUAGUUGGUGGGGUAAAGGCCCACCAAGGCGACGAUCGGUAGCGGGUCUGAGAGGACGAUCCGCCACACUGGGACUGAGACACGGCCCAGACUACUACGGGAGGCAGCAGUGGGGAAUCUUGGACAAUGGGCGCAAGCCUGAUCCAGCAAUGCCGCGUGGGUGAAGAAGGCCUUCGGGUUGUAAAGCCCUUUCGGCGGGGAAGAAAUCGGUCAGGCGAAUAGUCUGGCCGGAUGACGGUACGCGCAGAAGAAGCACCGGCUAACUACGUG
rnacentral:rRNA from 1 species